AGCUUCUGACAUGUUGUCAUUCAGUGCUGGAUGUCAGCCAGUUCUCCAUCAGGCUGCAUGUAAAAUCUUGUUUGUCCUCCCAUUGAGCUGCUUUUUCUCACUGCAGAAAAGCUACUCUGGAUCUACCAGAAUGAAAGUGCCAAGUACUCAGCUUGAAAUGGAGAGUGGAAGAUACUGUUAGCCAGCAUUUUUCACCUGUGGAAGAAGAUGAAGUUCUAUCAAAGCGGAACAACCCUCUUCUUGGUCCGUAGUGUUAUCCCAAAACAUUUACCCACUUCUGAUAUUUCAGGAGAAACAAUAAACUCAUGUUUGGUGUAGGGAGAAUGGCAGCUCAGAAAGUGCCAUGGUAACAUGUCCAUGAAUCCAGGGUAGCUGCCUUGGUGUUUGCUGUAACUUGUUCCAGGAAGCUGGGAUCACACUGGGAGUGGGACUCUUGCGUGACAAUGGCGAUUUACACCUCUGAACCUGUGCCAGUGUGGAGCAGAGUUAAAUUCCUAAAAGACGGCCGGCAUGUCCAUGCCCCAAAGUCAGACAUGAUUUGUCUUUGAGACUUGCCAGAGACUGUCUUCAGCAAAGGAAGAACCAGCUGAUUGGAGACACAGAAGCACACUUCAGCAGAGGAAAUUGUAUCCUUUUCACAUCUGAAGUUUGAAACAUCUGUGUGGGGGCAUGAACACCUGUGGGAGUAGUGGUUUUCCAGGUCUGUCUCCUAAGAAGGAAUUUGGAAUCAUUGAAUUGAGGUAGGUUGCAGCCCUGUUAUCUUUAGGGUCUCAUCAUUUGCAGUCCACCUAGCAAAACUGCUACAGAACUUUGUUUCCAUUAGCCUGAGGGCACUUGGAGGGAUAGCUAAAUUUUGGAUGACAGUUUGUAAGUUUAUUUUGAUACUUUGAAGGAGAAAAAUAAAAUGGGUAGUAGCAAUAUUAUUUAUGAGAGAAUUUGGUUCCUAGGCUUUGCUUUCCCUGCAGGCCUUAAAAUGGGCAGCACUGGGAGACUUCUGCUGCAUAAAGGGGACAUCAGCUGUUUGUCACUUUCUCGCUCUUUCCUGUUCAUGUAAAUGAGCAAUGACUACUGCAAAUGAUGGUGAGAGCUGGAGACAGCCUUCUGCCUCUUCAGUGACAUUUUCUCUUAGAAAAAAACCCAUAUGAAAUGAAAUUCAAAACGGAUCAUGCUAAAAUGCUGUAGACAACUUGCUAAAUCUUCAUUCAGGCAAUUCCUGUGAGCUUUUCUGUCAUUUGAUAGUCGUAUGGCUCUGUCACUGAAAAGUUUUUGAUGUUUUGUAAAGGUUUCCAGUGCCCUUGGCAUUUCAGAGGGGAUAUUUGUGCAACUGCUACUUGCUUCCCCUUCAGGGAGAUGAACGUCACAGCCUGCCCACAUUCCCCAGGAGUCUUCACUCAGUGAUGAGUGCUGUUACUGUAACAGCUGAAGUCAGCACAACUCUGAAGUAAUGUCAUGAAUCACAAAAUAAGUAUCUCCUCUCUUUGCCAAUGCAAACUCUGGGGUUUUCUGCCUCUUUCUAGAAGUGCCAGUGCUCCCUGACUCUGCACAGGUGAGAACAGGCACAACAUAAGAAUCUUAGACAAAGCUUGGCUUCUCAGCCUUCUUAACCUUAGUAUGCAUUUAAUGCUAUUAACGGUAACAUCCUUCUUAAAUAUUUAAUACACUUCCUGGAGGCUUUUCUUUUCUGAUUUCAUACCUGUUUAUCCAGCUCUUCUUCCUGCCACUGGAAGCAAACAUUCCCCAGCAAGCAACCCUUGCCCCUGUGCCACAUCCCCUUAGAUAGCAGCAGUGCUCCCUCUGCAGCCGGCACUCACAGCUGGCUGCCAGGACAGCCCUUGCAGCUGACCCCGACAGAGCCCAGCGGGGAAAAGCCCUUACAAAUUCAACCCAGAGCUGAAAGGCAAGGCUGACUUCCCCUGGACAGUCUUUCAUUUGCAGUGAAGAUAGGCACAUUGGCCAGUAUUUCUGGUGGAGCUGCAUAAACUAGGACAUGGACUAAGGAAAGGCUGCAUCUUCCAGCUUAACUAAAACAAAACACAGCCCUACCUCAGUUUAGCUGCAAGAGCCAGCAGGAGUUCUCACCUUCCUCAAGUGCUUUACUGCUUUUGAGCUUGAAUUUCUAUCCCUGAACUUUGAGUUAAUCAGUAGCAAAUUUUGAGGUUUCCUGUAUUUCACAAAAGUGUUUUCCAACAAUUACUGCUUCCAACAAGGCAUCUGUUUAUAUGUUGACAUAAAAAAUGUGUUUUCUUUUUCUUGUUCCCUUGGCUGCAGCUGGUUAGUUCAUUUGGGAUUACAAUGGUAGCACAGUAGGACUUUGUUUGUCUUUUCCUUGCAUGAAAUUUUGUUGAAAGUGUGAACUGUAAAAGGCAUUGAAAUGACACAAAGUAAAAUCCAUUUUCUAAAUGAAA